CUGGCUCAGGACGAACGCUGGCGGCACGCUUAACACAUGCAAGUCGAACGGAGUUAAUUUUGGUUUACUGAGAUUAACUUAGUGGCGGACGGGUGAGUAACACGUGAGCAACCUGCCUCUGAGAAAGGGAUAGCUUCUGGAAACGGAUGGUAAUACCUUGUAACAUAACGAAGCCGCAUGACUUUGUUAUCAAAGAUUUAUCG
rnacentral:rRNA from 1 species